UACGUAGGGGGCAAGCGUUGUCCGGAAUCAUUGGGCGUAAAGCGCGCGUAGGUGGCUUCGUAAGUCCGUUGUGAAAGUCAAAGGCUCAACCUUUGAAAGCCGAUGGAUACUGCGGAGCUAGAGUACGGAAGAGGCGAGUGGAGUUCCUGGUGUAGCGGUGGAAUGCGCAGAUAUCAGGAGGAACACCAAUAGCGAAGGCAGCUCGCUGGGACGUUACUGACACUAAGGCGCGAAAGCGUGGGGAGCGAACAGG
rnacentral:rRNA from 1 species